rnacentral:rRNA from 1 species
GGUAACCUGCCUUAUAGUGGGGGAGUAGCCUUUCGAAAGGAAGAUUAAUACCGCAUAAGAUUGUAGUAUCGCAUGAUAUAGCAAUUAAAAGGAGCAAUUCGCUAUAAGAUGGACCCGCGUCGCAUUAGCUAGUUGGUGAGGUAAUGGCUCACCAAGGCGACGAUGCGUAGCCGACCUGAGAGGGUGAUCGGCCACAUUGGGACUGAGACACGGCCCAGACUCCUACGGGAGGCAGCAUG